AAAAAUAAUUCUCACUCCCCUUACCCAAAUUUUUGUCCCAAAUUCAUAGAUCUCAACAUCGGCGCCUCUCUCUCACUCUUAACCCUAAAUCGCCCCACCUCUCCAAUAUCGUUUCAUCACCAAUCUCCUUCCUCUACACAAACGCUAUGGACGAAGAUGAGCAAGAGGAACCGUAAUGGUGAUGAUUGUCGACGGUGGUUUUCAAUGAUGAUUCUCCAAUCGUCUUCCAUGGUUAUUCUUGAAGGUUUGUUCGUGUAUGAUAAGUGUCACAUAUGUCUUUGGUUUCUGCCCAUAGUGAUGCGUGGCUAUUUUAUGUCGGAUUUUAAUUUGGUGCCAAAGUUGGUUCUUAACGCCAAACAAUCUUUGAGGAACGGCGCUGCGGGAACGAAGCACUUGGAGCCUUGGGGAACUUUAGCAAAACUAGGGCUUUUAAUUGGUGGUGGAACGCUGAACGCCAGAGUCUCAUGGAGGAAUGCAACUUCGGCCAUGGAAAAGAUGAAUCAACCAAGGGCUUUGGAAACCAACUAAGAUAAAACACUGGUUUGAUUAUAUAUAGGUGUAUUCUGACAUCGCGCUUGUAGAAAUUUCGCCAUCAAACCCGUAGAAUCCUUUAAGUCUGGAAAAUUUCCGAACCCGUAGGAAAAAAAAUUUUGACUACGCCCCUGAUUAGAAUCACUAAUUUCUUUUCAUUGUUCUAUUAAAUUUGUUCUUAAAUUUUCCAGUUUCUAUCACUAUUAAUAGCAUAAUUUUUUUUUUGUAGGAAAGAAAGUAUUGUUCGUUGCUUUGCUUGGGGUUUGGAUACUACUUAAAAAAUCAUAUGCAUGAGAGGUUAAAUCCAGAUGGUGACAAACCUUCUGCUACAAUGUAUGCAGGUAUGCAACAGCUAGUGGACGCUCGGAUGGUCUGUUUUUACGAUGUGGUGGAAGAGACGCCUCUGGCACGAUAUGAAGUUAUGCUCUAAGAUAUCAACUACUUGCUUUAACUACUAAUAAGCGGUACUGAAAAAGCCACACAAUCUUUGGUUGAAUAGCUUAAACCAACGUUAAAAGAGGUUGAAUACAAUGAGUUGGUUGAUGUCGCACCAGUAAGUGUAGGAAGAAAUAUGAUGUGGGAAUAUGAUUGCUAAGAGAGAAUUAACAUGGGGAUCAUUACACAUAAAGAUUGCAAAAGAGUUUCAUGAAGGCAAUGAAGUCUUGAGUUUUUAUUAUAACAUUUGUUAGUUUUAUUCAAACAUUAGAGUUAGUUUGCUACUUUUUAGACAUUAGUUUGUAAACGUAUGAAUGUU